AUGGGCUAUAACAUGCCUAAAGGAACUAAUAUCUUCGUUAAUGUCUUUGCAAUUUCUCGGGAUCCCAAAUAUUGGGACAACCCAGAAGAGUACAAGCCGGAGAGCUUUGAGAACAGCAACGUCGAAUAUUAUGGGACACAUUUUGAAUUCACUCCUUUCGGGGCAAUGCGAAGGCAGUGCCCUGGGAUAUUGUUUGCCAUGUCGACCGUGGAGAUUACCUUGGCAAACCUACUCUACCACUUGGAGAGUAUAUGUGCUCGCCCUGGGGUGGUGUGUGUGGCAGAGUUCGAGCUCGCCGGAAAGAGGUUGUUCGUGCGGCCGGAGGCGUUUGUGCACCGGGAAACCUCGUGCCUUCUCUCUCUUGUUUCUUCCUUGUCUCCGGUGAUCGCCGUGGUUCAGUGA
rnacentral:rRNA from 1 species